ensembl:snRNA U6 U6 spliceosomal RNA
GCGCUUGAUUCAGUAACACAUAAACUAAAAUCGGAACAAUACAGAGAAGAUUAGGUUGGCCCCUGUGCAAGGGUGAUACAGAAAUUUGUGAAGCAUCCAUAUUUUUU